rnacentral:rRNA from 1 species
ACGGAGGGGGCUAGCGUUGUUCGGAAUUACUGGGCGUAAAGGGCUCGUAGGCGGCCAACUAAGUCGGAUGUGAAAUCCCCAGGCUUAACCUGGGAACUGCAUCCGAUACUGGAUGGCUUGAAUCCGGGAGAGGGAUGCAGAAUUCCAGGUGUAGCGGUGAAAUGCGUAGAUAUCUGGAGGAACACCGGUGGCGAAGGCGGCAUCCUGGACCAAUACUGACACUGAAAAGCGAAAGCCAGGGGAGCAAACGGGA